rnacentral:rRNA from 1 species
UUGAACCUGCCUCAUAAUUGGGAAUAGCCUUGCGAAAGUAAGAUUUAAUGCCCGGUGUUUUCAGAGUCCCGCAUGAGGCUUUGAACAAGAGAUUUAUCGGUAUGAGAUGGUGAUGCGUCCCAUUAGCUUGUUGGGCGGGGUAACGGCCCACCAAGGCAUCGAUGGGUAGGGGUUUGUGAGAGGAAGGUCCCCCACAUUGGAACUGAGACACGGUCCAAACUCCUACGGGAGGCAGCAGUGAGGAAUAUUGGUCAAUGGGCGGAAGCCUGAACCAGCCAAGUAGCGUGCAGGAAGACGGCCCUCCGGGUUGUAAACUGCUUUUAGUUGGGAAUAAAACGGGGGCUUCGUGAGCCCCCUUGCAUGUACCAUCAGAAAAAGGACCGGUCUUAAUUCCCGUGCCAGCCAGCCCGCGGUUAAUACGGAAGGUUCCGGGCGUAAUUCCGAAUUUAUUGGGUUUAAAGGGAGGCGCAGGCGAACCCUUUAAGUCAGCUGUGAAAUACGGCGGUUCAACCCGUCGAACUGCAGUUGAAUACUGGAGGUCUUGAGUGCACACAGGGAUGCUGGAAUUCAUGGUGUAGCGGUGAAAUGCUCAGAUAUCAUGAAGAACUCCGAUCGCGAAGGCAGGCAUCCGGGGUGCAACUGACGCUGAGGCUCGAAAGUGCGGGUAUCAAACAGGAUUAGAUACCCUGGUAGUCCGCACAGUAAACGAUGAAUACUCGCGGUUUGCGAUACAAUGUAAGCCGCCAAGCGAAAGCGUUAAGUAUUCCACCUGGGGAGUACGCGGCAACGGUGAAACUCAAAGGAAUUGACGGGGGCCCGCACAAGCGGAGGAACAUGUGGUUUUAUUGAUGAUACGCGAGGAACCUUACCCGGGCUUGAACUGCCCAGCGACGGAUGCAGAGACGCAUCUUUCUUCGGACGCUGGCGGAGGUGCUGCAUGGUUGUCGUCAGGUCGUGCCGUGAGGUGUCGGCUUAAGUGCCAUAACGAGCGCAACCCUCAUCCUCGUUUGCCAUCAGGUGAAGCUGGGCACUCCGGGGACACUGCCAUCGUAAGAUGUGAGGAAGGUGGGGAUGACGUCAAAUCAGCACGGCCCUUACGUCCGGGGCUACACACGUGUUACAAUGGGCGGUACAGAGGGCAGCCACUGCGCGAGCAGGAGCCAAUCCUCAAAGCCGUUCUCAGUUCGGACUGGAGUCUGCAACCCGACUCCACGAAGCUGGAUUCGCUAGUAAUCGCGCAUCAGCCAUGGCGCGGUGAAUACGUUCCCGGGCCUUGUACACACCGCCCGUCAAGCCAUGAAAGCCGGGAGCACUUGAAGGCCGUGACCGUCAAGGGUCGGUCUAGAGUGAU